GCUUGUCUCAAAGAUUAAGCCAUGCAUGUCUAAGUAUAAACAACUCUAUACUGUGAAACUGCGAAUGGCUCAUUAUAUCAGUUAUAGUUUAUUUGAUAGUACCUUACUACUUGGAUAACCGUAGUAAUUCUAGAGCUAAUACAUGCAUACAACCCCAACUGCCUGUGCGGACGGGGCGUAUUUAUUAGAUCGAAACCAAUGCGGGGCAACCCGGUAUUGUGGUGAUUCAUAAUAACUGUUCGAAUCGCACGGGCAACCGGCGAUAGUUCAUUCAAAUUUCUGCCCUAUCAGCUUUCGACGGUAGUGUAGUGGACUACCGUGGCGUUAACGGGUAACGGAGAAUUAGGGUUCGAUUCCGGAGAGGGAGCCUGAGAAACGGCUACCACAUCCAAGGAAGGCAGCAGG
rnacentral:rRNA from 1 species